GAUGAACGCUGGCGGCGUGCUUAACACAUGCAAGUCGAACGGAAAGGCCGAAGCUUGCUUCGGUACUCGAGUGGCGAACGGGUGAGUAACACGUGGGUGAUCUGCCCUGUACUUCGGGAUAAGCUUGGGAAACUGGGUCUAAUACCGGAUAUGACGAUCUCUUGGAUGGGGUUGUGGAAAGCUUUUGCGGUAUGGGAUGAGCUCGCGGCCUAUCAGCUUGUUGGUGGGGUAAUGGCCUACCAAGGCGUCGACGGGUAGCCGGCCUGAGAGGGUGUACGGCCACAUUGGGACUGAGAUACGGCCCAGACUCCUACGGGAGGCAGCAGUGGGGAAUAUUGCACAAUGGGCGCAAGCCUGAUGCAGCGACGCCGCGUGGGGGAUGACGGCCUUCGGGUUGUAAACUCCUUUCGCAAUCGACGAAGCCUUUGGUGACGGUAGGUGGAGAAGAAGCACCGGCUAACUACGUG
rnacentral:rRNA from 1 species